rnacentral:rRNA from 1 species
UACGUAGGGUGCAAGCGUUAAUCGGAAUUACUGGGCGUAAAGCGUGCGCAGGCGGUUUUGUAAGACAGGCGUGAAAUCCCCGGGCUCAACCUGGGAAUUGCGCUUGUGACUGCAAGGCUGGAGUACGGCAGAGGGGGAUGGAAUUCCGCGUGUAGCAGUGAAAUGCGUAGAUAUGCGGAGGAACACCAAUGGCGAAGGCAAUCCCCUGGGCCUGUACUGACGCUCAUGCACGAAAGCGUGGGGAGCAAACAGG